UACGGGGGGGGCAAGCGUUGUUCGGAAUUACUGGGCGUAAAGGGCUCGUAGGCGGCCAACUAAGUCAGACGUGAAAUCCCUCGGCUUAACCGGGGAACUGCGUCUGAUACUGGAUGGCUUGAGUUCGGGAGAGGGAUGCGGAAUUCCAGGUGUAGCGGUGAAAUGCGUAGAUAUCUGGAGGAACACCGGUGGCGAAGGCGGUCUGCUGGGCAGUUUCUGACACUGAGGCGCGACAGCGUGGGGAGCAAACAGG
rnacentral:rRNA from 1 species